rnacentral:lncRNA from 1 species
UUGAGAUCCAUCAAAGAAUAGGCAAGAAAUCACCGCAAUUUCAAGUUCUUCUUUCCAAGUUCUUCCUCCAAUUUCCGCCAGGAAGAGUUGUUGGAACGCCUCGCAGGACCGAGUUAAGAUUCCUUCAUCUUCUUCCCUUUCUUCUCUGGUGUUUUGACCUUCGUUCACUUUGAUUUGAGCUGGCAACUACCGAAAUUCAUCCAAAAUAGGGCACCCCUAUUUUAAUCUUCUUCCAUCGAGCUUUUCCACUGUCGACCACUAAUUUUGGCUGGAGUUUCAGCCGCCUAUGGCCUUUGUCGAGUGAGAGGCUGGGCCACCGCGACUGCCACCUGCUACCGAUGAGAGAGAAUGGAGAAAGGAGACAAGGAAGAUGGACUUCCCCAUUCGUGAAGAGAGAAGAGAGAGGGUUUCUCUUCCCCCACCCCCCUCCCCACACACACACCAACAAAAAAGAUAGAUUAAAAGUUCUUAACGAACAUAUAUAACUUGCUCAAGUAAAGCUAAAUUACUGCUAUUGUGAAAUACAUAUGCCAACAAUUAAAUAUUGAUUACAGACCAAUAUACAUGUACAUGUAUAUAUAGCAACUCUACUUUUGUGUCAUGUAUUAGUAGUUCCAAUGGAUAUAUAUGCAUGUAUGUGUGUGUAUCAUAUUUUCAAUUUAAUGAUUUCAUUCCACAAUGAAUUCAGAUAAAUUAUCCAUUAUCAUUAUUCACAUGUGCAAUCAAAGAUUCACAAGAGGGUGAUAUAAUGCACCUUUGAGGGUACAUCAUCCAAGUAUGUGUCCCUGCCUAUUAGACAUAGUUGAAUAAAGCUUGAGACACUAUCUUGAGAUUUAUUCAUGUAUGUCCAGCAGCCAAUGUAUAACAUAAGAAUAGCAUAGACCAUGAGGAAGAGGAGGGUGGGCUAUCUAGAAAACAAGCAGUGGAUGAAUUAUCAAGUGAAACCAGCUUACUUAAUAUAGAUGAUGUCUGAAAAUAGCACAAUGUAUGGCAGAAAGAUUCUUCCAUGUUAAUGUCAAAUGCGGCCUUUCAAUAGAAUGUAGGAGCCCAGGAUGUUUGAGAGCACUGUGGACAUCAUUUGCUUGC